rnacentral:rRNA from 1 species
GAUGAACGCUAGCGGCAGGCCUAAUACAUGCAAGUCGAACGGUGUCUUCGGACAUAGUGGCGCACGGGUGCGUAACACGUAUGCAACCUACCUUACAUUGGGGGAUAGCCUUUCGAAAGGGAGAUUAAUACCGCAUAAGACAGUAGCUGGGCAUCCAGCAGCUGUUAAAGACUUAUCGAUGUAAGCUGGGCAUGCGUCCAAUUAGCUAGUUGGUGAGGUAACGGCUCACCAAGGCAAUGAUUGGUAGGGGAACUGAGAGGUCAAUCCCCCACACUGGCACUGGGAAACGGGCCAGACUCCUACGGGAGGCAGCAGUAGGGAAUAUUGGGCAAUGGACGCAAGUCUGACCCAGCCAUGCCGCGUGCAGGAUGAAGGCGUUAUGCGUUGUAAACUGCUUUUAUACAGGAAGAAACGACUCUUGCGAGAGGCAUUGACGGUACUGUAUGAAUAAGCACCGGCUAACUCCGUGCCAGCAGCCGCCGUAAAAC